GACAGAGGGUGCAAACGUUGUUCGGAAUUACUGGGCGUAAAGCGCGUGUAGGCGGCUAUGCAAGUCGGGUGUGAAAGCCCUCGGCUCAACCGAGGAAGUGCGCCCGAAACUGCAGAGCUUGAGUACCGGAGAGGAUGGCGGAAUUCCCCAAGUAGAGGUGAAAUUCGUAGAUAUGGGGAGGAACACCGGUGGCGAAGGCGGCCAUCUGGACGGAUACUGACGCUGAGACGCGAAAGCGUGGGUAGCAAACAGG
rnacentral:rRNA from 1 species